rnacentral:lncRNA from 1 species
AGUGAGAUAUGUGCUCUGUCCCAGAGACCCCUUGGCUUAACAACUUCACAAAUCGCUAUGAUUCGAGUAUAGAGCACGCUGACAUCAAUCUGGUGAACACAACCAAUAAAAAUACAAAAGCGAUAUGUUAUAAAUUCACGAAAUUUAGAGAACAUGAGACAACUUUCUAAAACAAAACAUAAAUAUAUACAUAAUUGUUCAAGCUGUGGAUCCUUAUCUAUUAAACCCAAAACCAACAUUUCAAUAAUUGGUAACUCUUAGCAUAAGAACUAAUGACAUUAUCAAAUAAGAAUCCAGAUAAACAUCUGAAACCAACAAAGUAACAGAAUGAAACACUAAAGCGGUUAUCAAACCCCUCUGUGUUGAUCAAAGGCUUACCAAUGAUAAAUAUCUAUAAAGCCCAAAACUUUAGAGACAUAAACACAACAAGGCUUGAAGACACCAAACCCUAACUUCAAACCCACAAAUCUAAAAAUGGAAAUGCAAAUUAAAUCAAAACAUCAAAAUAAAAAAGUUGAAAGCUUUUCAAACGGAAAUCGACUUUGGUAACCUGAUAAAGAGAGAUGGAGAGAGAUAGUGAUGGGCAGAAGCAGAGAAUGGAGAGGAGGAGGAGGAGGAGGAGGAGGCUCUCUUCUUUUCAAAAUCAAAGAGACUUUUGUCGCUGAGCGGUGAAAUAAACCUAAAAGUGACGCC